UGGUGCUUCUGUGUAGAUCGCUGACCGGGAGAACUUGGAGUGGCAAAGGUUCCCCAAAGCUACAGAGAACCCUGGGAAGGACCACAUGAACACAAAGUGCCUGACGUGAUACUGCUGACCGUUGUUCUCUUUCCCAGGGUGGUGGUUGUUUCGUCUGCAGUUUCAGAUCUGCUAAUGACCCACGAUGCUCCAUUCGCCAGACUGGAGGACCUGGAAGCCCAGGGGUGAGAUCCGUGUUUCAGUCUUUUUUUGAGGAGAAAUUAAAGUUUUAUCUUGUAUAAAUUUGGUGUUAGCACCUUUUCCAAA